CCAGACUCCUACGGGAGGCAGCAGUGAGGAAUAUUGGUCAAUGGGCGGGAGCCUGAACCAGCCAAGUCGCGUGAGGGAAGACGGUCCUAUGGAUUGUAAACCUCUUUUGUCGGGGAGCAAAGAGGCCACGUGUGGUCAAAAGCGAGAGUACCCGAAGAAAAAGCAUCGGCUAACUCCGUGCCAGCAGCCGCGGUAAUACGGAGGAUGCGAGCGUUAUCCGGAUUUAUUGGGUUUAAAGGGUGCGUAGGCGGGACGGUAAGGCGGCGGAAAAAAUGGGGAGCACAACGCCGGCGAGCCGUGGAAACUGCCGUUCUUGAGUGAGCGAGAAGUAUGCGGAAUGCGUGGUGUAGCGGUGAAAUGCAUAGAUAUCACGCAGAACUCCGAUUGCGAAGGCAGCAUACCGGCGCUCAACUGACGCUGAAGCACGAAGGCGUGGGUAUCGAACAGGAUUAGAUACCCUGGUA
rnacentral:rRNA from 1 species